CUCUCAAUCGACAUCACAUCGUUCUCUUAGAAUCAAAAACAUGAUGAAUAUGUGCAAGAAAUCACUCUUUCUUGGGGCAAAAGCCACCAUCCUUUUGUUCCUGAUCCUUGCUGCGAGUGCUCCUCUUGUAGUUCCAACUAGGACUUCUAGUUUCAUAAUGACCAUGAUGACAGAAAUUGAAGCAAGCAGCACGGAUGUUACCCAAAUUAGUAACCUUCCAAUUCAACCAUCUAGUCCUAGUCCUUAUCCUUGCAGUUACCAGCCUGGAGAUGGGCAAUGCAAACCUCCUAAGUGAUUCAUGCUACAUACUGUCCAUCAAGCAUCUAGCUAGCUGUAUAAAUACAUGGAUCAUAUUGAUGAUGGAGGUGGAGAGAACACAAGUGGAGACUAGGGAAUGUGUCAAGGAGACUAGAUAGAAUAAGUCCUUUUGUAUGCAUAUUAUAUAUCCUGUUAUUUUGCUACGUUUCAGCUGUCAGAAAUGGUUGAAAUUGAACAUCCUGUUGAGUGUUACCAUAUUAA